rnacentral:misc_RNA from 1 species
AAGUCGUAACAAGGUUUCCGUAGGUGAACCUGCGGAAGGAUCAUUACCGAGUUAGGGUCUAUUCAGGCCCGACCUCCAACCCUGUGUUUACAUUACCAUGUUGCUUUGGCGGGCCCGCUCUUUCGGGGCCGCCGGGGGUUUUAUCACCCCUGGCCCGUGCCUCGCGGUGUCAUUAUAAUUUCUUUUACUGUGAUGCUGAGUCUAAAUAUAAAUCGUUAAAA